rnacentral:rRNA from 1 species
UACGAAGGACCCGAGCGUUAUCCGGAUUUAUUGGGUUUAAAGGGUGCGUAGGCGGAUUAGUAAGUCAGUGGUGAAAGCCCAUCGCUUAACGGUGGAACUGCCAUUGAUACUGCUAGUCUUGAGUAUGGUUGAGGUGGGCGGAAUGUGUCAUGUAGCGGUGAAAUGCUUAGAUAUGACCCAGAACACCAAUUGCGAAGGCAGCCCGCUAAGCCAUAACUGACGCUGAGGCACGAAAGCGUGGGGAGCAAACAGG